AUCAUAUUGCUUGAAAUGACUUACACGAGAGAUCUCCCGCGUUUAAUAUACUAAGUGAAUAAAGUCCGAGAGAUCCGAGUAAAUACUAUGUGGAUGACUACCGAGUGUUACCGAAAAGAUAAACAAAUAUGGCUGCCGUAGAAGACGAACCGCUAUGUCGGAGACAAACUUUCUACUCUAAUGGACUAUAAAAGUUCAGACAGUAUGAUUAAAUGGAAUACACAUGACAGUUCUGAAGAAAUUGAAGUAAACUUUACCAUGAUACCAGGUGCAUUUUUUAAACAUGUAAACAGAAUCAGAACUUUUCAUCGCAUAAAUGUGAUAUUGUCCACACAAGCGUCGCUCACGGAAUCCAUGUAGAAUCCUCUUCAUCAUCA